UUGUGCAGAACCGCGUUCGGGUGCUUGUCGUGCUCCCGUCACAGUCUCUUUUCCCGCACCCCGGGAUCACGUCCGUCCUGUGGCCGACUGGGAGGAGCCGAGCGGGACUGCUCGCUUCUAGCGUAGUCCCUGCAGUGGCGGCUCUCGGGCUUUGCUUUGGCCUUUAGUUUCUCUGUCAAUACCGUCUUCAUUUCGCUGCCACUGUUAACGUUGCCUUUCAGAGGUUGAAAAGCGACAAGUAAAACACCCAACGCCAUCAGCUUCUAGCUGAUUCCAAAUCUAAACGGAGACAAAAUGGAAGGUGGAAAAAGUAACUUUGCGUGCAGCCCUUCCUGUUCCGCCCAAGGUCGGAAUGCUUGCGGUGGCAGUGUUAGCCCUUUUGAAACAAGGGUUUCCUUAAUUUUACUUUUUCUUUUCCGAGACACAGUUUCUCAGUAUAGCCCUGGCUGUCCUGGAACUCGAUCUGUAGAACAGGCUGGCCUCGAACUCCGAGAUCAGCCUCCCUCUCUUAGGUGUUAGGAUUAAAGGCGUGGGAAACCGGGCCGGGCCGGCAGCUUUCUGCUGUAGCGGAUUGUAUUAAGAGGAAUUUUUCAGUGUCAUCUGGGAAAAUUUCAUCGUGGCUCAAAUUUCUGUUGGAAGAUAGCGUUAAUGACUUAAAAUGUGUUGACUACAAUUUAGUUUUGGCUUGGAAAAGGUGUAUUUGCCCUGGUGAGAUGUCUGUGGUGUAAUUAUUAACCUGUUUGGACUAAGAGUAGACAGAACUAAGUAUCAACGUUAGUUUUUAUUUAUAAAUGACAGCUAUCCUUAUUGAACUUUAGAAAACUACUUCUGGAUGGUGGAAUUGAUAGACUGAAUUGUUUUGUUACAAGAUAAGAUGACAGUGUGAACAGUUUUUGUUGUUUUCUAGUAAUAGAAGUGAAAUUCCCAAAUCAGAGAUGUUGUGGAUGCUUUCCGGUACCUAUAGGGAUGCAGUUUUCUCUUGUUUUUAACUUUGAAAAGUUCUAUGGGUAAACAGUAGCACUUGUUUGCAAGCAUUUGACUCUUCAUGUAUGGCUCUGAAUAGUCUACAGUGGAUUACCUCUUUGUUAUUUCCACUUUCUUAAAUAAUAACUAAUAUUAUGAACUAGUACUUUGAGCAUUCUACUAAUGGAGUAUAGCUUUAAGAGUUUUAUUGAUAUUUAUUUUGUCUACAUCACAACCUUAUGUAUUAUUAUUACUUUAGAGGUAAUUGUAAAAACAAGCCCCACAUUUUUGAGAAGAUAGUUUUUGCUGCUUUCUUUCUUUCAUUUUGAAAACAUGUUGAAGUAAGCAUUAAAUUAGAAGUUGAUUCUGGUGUGGCUCCAGUCUUAACAGGUCCUUGUAAUUUAUGUACUUUAAAAUGUUUCUAUUUAUUCAUGUGUUUGUGCUCAUGUCUCUUUCUGUGUAUUUGUCACAUGUGUGUGGGUGUCAGCAGAGGCCAGAGGACCCAGUGGAGCUGGACUUACAGAUGGUUGUGAGCUGCCCAAACUGGCUGCUGGAAACCAAGCUUGGGUUCUCUGGAAGAUGAGAAGUGCUCUUAACUGCUGAGCCAUCUCUCCAGCCUUGUAAUUUAUAUAAUUUUUAUUGCUAGACUUUUGCACAUGUAUUUUUGUGUGUUUAUGUGUGGUUUCAUGCAGGUGUGUGUUCUCAUGUGAGUGUAUGUGCUUAUGUGUGUACGUAGAAGCCCAGCGAUGCUGUUUUUCUCUAUUGUUCUCCACUUUGUUUAUUGAGGCAGGGUUUCUUAUUGAAGCUGGGAGUCAUUGACUCCAGCCAGUCCAGCUAGACUGCUAGGGGAUUCCAUGUUUUGGUACCCUCCACACACAGGAGAUCUGAAUUCCAGUCUUCAAGCUUGGUGAUGGUGGUGGUGGUGGUGGUGGUGGUGGUGGUGGUGGUGGUGGUGUGUGUGUGAGCGCGAGUACUCAUGAGCUUUAUCCACUUAGCCAUUUAACUUCUGUGAUGUGCUUUUAGAGGUUAGCACACUUUAGAAAAGGAAGCUUAAUGUGUUCUCAGAUUUUACUGAAGAUUACAGGUAACAUCAGAAUCGUUGCUUGGCCAAGACAGUAGUAUUGAAAAUUUACAUAUAAAUUUCACUAUAGUUUUCUAAGGUAAUGCUGUGUAAAACAUAAUUAUAAGAAUAGAAUUAUGGUGCAGAACCUGCACACACUUUUGAGAGAUGCAGCUUCUGUUGCCAUGGAUACUAAAAGAAUGACAAAUUGGUGGAGCUGACAUGUAUAGAAUAAAGGAAGUACUAGUCAUGGAGUGUGACUGUUGUCUCUACAGGCUGUCCAUCAUGGUGAUACCUUUCCAUGUCCUUGGACAAUGAAUGCACCGUGCAAAACCAGUUUAGUGUGGGAAAAAUUAGAUGCUUUUGUCUUUUAAAGGUGCAUAUGUGUAUAUAUACAUAUUGGUGUAUUAUAUAACGUUCAUCGUACGCGUGCACGUGUACAUGUGCACAUGUGUAGAGGACAACCUGAAGGAUUGACUCCUUCCACCGUGAGGAUCCUGGGGAUCGGAUCUAACUCAGGCUGUGAAACUUGGCUGCAAGUGACUUUACCCACUGAGCUAUGUCACAGUACAGAUGACACAUUUAUUCCACCUGUGUUCACAUCUGAGAGAGGUGGUGUGUGCAUACCUUGUCUCACCUGUUUAGGAACAUUUUGGAUUUGGGGAUUUUUCCAAAUUUGGCAAACACAGUGAUUUUUGUAAUAUGUAUGAGAUGUUGCAGUGACUGUCACAAGUUUGUAUACAUUUGAUUUCUGUUUGAUUUGCCCUGUGCACAUAGCCUAUGCACAUUUUAUAUUAAUUUUUUUGUCUUUGAAUAUAGUAUACAAAAUAUACAAUUUUUUGAAGAAUUUUGUGC
rnacentral:lncRNA from 1 species